AGCGAAGCACUUUUGCGGAUUUCUUCGGAUUGAAGCAAUUGUGACUGAGCGGCGGACGGGUGAGUAACGCGUGGGUAACCUGCCUCAUACAGGGGGAUAACAGUUGGAAACGGCUGCUAAUACCGCAUAAGCGCACAGUACCGCAUGGUACCGUGUGAAAAACUCCGGUGGUAUGAGAUGGACCCGCGUCUGAUUAGCUAGUUGGUGGGGUAACGGCCUACCAAGGCGACGAUCAGUAGCCGACCUGAGAGGGUGACCGGCCACAUUGGGACUGAGACACGGCCCAAACUCCUACGGGAGGCAGCAGUGGGGAAUAUUGCACAAUGGGGGAAACCCUGAUGCAGCGACGCCGCGUGAGCGAUGAAGUAUUUCGGUAUGUAAAGCUCUAUCAGCAGGGAAGAAAAUGACGGUACCUGACUAAGAAGCCCCGGCUAACUACGUGCCAGCAGCCGCGGUAAUACGUAGGGGGCAAGCGUUAUCCGGAUUUACUGGGUGUAAAGGGAGCGUAGACGGCAUGGCAAGCCAGAUGUGAAAGCCCGGGGCUCAACCCCGGGACUGCAUUUGGAACUGUCAGGCUAGAGUGUCGGAGAGGAAAGCGGAAUUCCUAGUGUAGCGGUGAAAUGCGUAGAUAUUAGGAGGAACACCAGUGGCGAAGGCGGCUUUCUGGACGAUG
rnacentral:rRNA from 1 species